rnacentral:lncRNA from 1 species
CGGAAGAAAAAAUAAGAGAGCAGCAGGAGAAGAGGUGAUGUGUUGGAUAUAUAGAAAGAGAGAGGGACAGAGUCUGCGUGCUUGUUUCAGAGAGAGAGAGAGAGAGAGGAGGGAGGCUGCCCGUGUGACUGACGCUCUGUGAGUUCCCAUUCGGCCAAUCGCGGCUCUCGCCUGGCCCGCUCUGCUCCGGCUCAGUGCCGUAGCCAGGCAGGAAUUUCUCACUCUCUCACUUGCACAGACACAGACACACUGCGCACACAGGCAGACCCUACACGCAUGCACACACACACACGCACGCAUACACACACACACACAGAGAGAAAGGCACCGCGGUGCUCACUCUCUCCCGGAGCUGGGAGUAUCAGCGUGGGGGGAAAAUGACCAGCGAGGCUGGGAGCAUCCGAACGAGGAGAUCCGCCUGCCAGGUCUGGAUCCGAGUCGGCAGCGGUCGCGCACACACAAGCACGUGUUAGAGAGGAGCCAGUGGUUGUACCUGCCAAGCCGCAGCAGCACCCGGCGGAAGCUUGUUGACUGCUGAAGUGCUGAGAGAACAUUAGCACCCCGCCUCCUCAGACAGCGUCGAGGACGUGGCCUGGAGCUGCCACUGGAGGUGAUCUUUACCUCUGCAUUCACAACACGGCUCUGAUGAAACCUAACUGGCUGAGCCCUCUGUCGACCUUCAUUUGCUCAUCGUGCCUGCAUUGUUACAGUGCUUACCAUUCCUAGUAAGGCAUGCUUGUUUGGUGUACUUUAGCUCAA